rnacentral:rRNA from 1 species
GACGAACGCUGGCGGCGUGCUUAACACAUGCAAGUCGAACGGAAAGGCCCUGCUUUUGUGGGGUGCUCGAGUGGAGAACGGGUGAGUAACACGAGAGUAACCUGCCCUUGACUUUGGGAUAAUUUCAGGAAACUGGGGCUUAUACCGGAUAGGAGCUCCUGCCGCAUGGUGGGGGUUGGAAAGUCUCGGCGGUUGGGGAGGGUCUCGCGGCUUCUCCGCUUGUUGGGGGGGUAGUGGCUUACCAAGGCUUUGACGGGUAGCCGGCCUGAGAGGGUGACCGGCCACAUUGGGACUGAGAUACGGCCCAGACUCCUACGGGAGGCAGCAGUGGGGAAUAUUGCACAAUGGGCGGAAGCCUGAUGCAGCAACGCCGCGUGCGGGAUGACGGCCUUCGGGUUGUAAACCGCUUUCGCCUGUGACGAAGCGUGAGUGACGGUAAUGGGUAAAGAAGCACCGGCUAACUACGUG